rnacentral:rRNA from 1 species
CCCUUAGAUGUUCUGGGCCGCACGCGCGCUACACUGAUGCAUUCAACGAGUUUCUUCCUGGUCCGAGAGGAAUGGGUAACCUUUUGAAAGUGCAUCGUGAUAGGGAUAGACUAUUGCAAUUAUUGGUCUUCAACGAGGAAUUCCUAGUAGACGUAGUUCAUCAGACUGCAUCGAUUACGUCCCUGCCCUUUGUACACACCGCCCGUCGCUCCUACCGAUUGAAUGCUCAGGUGAGCCAUUCGGACUUUCAUCAUGCUGGUUUCCAGUUUUGAUGAAGGAAAGUCUUGCGAACCUUGUCAUUUAGAGGAAGGAGAAGUCGUAACA